GUUCGUGAUCCUCUUGGCUGGGCAGCACCUUGCACAAGACGGAGGCUGCUCCAGGAGCAGCAGCAGCUACAAGAUCUUAUACUUUAAAUAGAGCUGUAUAUUAGCAGCAGUCAUUUGGAAGUGCUUGCAGAGUGCAGCCACCCACUGCCUGUGUUUCCUUCAUGUAAAGCCUGUGACAGCACCAGCACAUGCAGCAGCUCUGUACUUGCUGGUGCCACUUAGAUCCUUGUUUCUCUGACUGGUAAUUCACUGCAUCAGUCAGAUGUGUCGCCUGGCUGCACAACUGAUAACGCUAAGAGCUCUGGUCAACAAACUGCCCAGAUGAGUAGAAAGGAGGCAUCUGUGCACACCUGAUCAGCAGCAAGGUGCUCCUGCUUGUAUCUGCUGAUUAGUGACCAGCUAUGGUUCCACCAUUUUUAUGCCAGGAAACCUGUUUUUGCAGCACUCUGAGAAGCCAAGCUUCUGGCUUUCCCAGCAGUGGGACAUACAACUGAAAGGUGAUGACAACUCAAAAUAAGUGAGCCACUGCUAUGGUCAGAGCACCGCCAGCAUUGAGGAAGAAUACACAAGCACCAGGACAUCCGUAGCCAUAAAAAAAUACUGUCAACAGGAUGCAUAAAAUACAUUGAACCUGAAACACAUCAUCACGGGAGAAUGAAGAAAACCAGAAGCAACAGCUAAGCUUUUCUGGGCAGAUCAAUUUGCUUUAUGCCAUUCUUUUAACUAUGCUACUUUUAACUAUGCAACUUUAAAAAGUUGGACAGAACAGUUCUUCAGAACUGUGACACCCAACAAUGGACACCAGAUCUUUUUUAUGUCAAAAUAAACAAAAAGUGCUACAUCUUCUUCACCUCGUUAUAAAACUCAUCAGGACAAUGAUCCCCAGAACCUCUUAGGCUAUACUUGGUUGAAAGAUGGAUGUGUUCAGACAGCUGUGUGAAAGUUUGUCUUUUUGAUUUCUACUACUCCUUUAGAGUUCAGGUGUUGGCACACUUAAUACCAAGACUGUUGUAACAAAGGCAUAUGCUGUUGUAUGGUGGUGAGGAAUUUCAAAGUCAUAAGCUUGGGUAAGGUGAAGAUAUCCGUUAAUAACUUUGCCCAUCAGAAGCUCUCGAAUCAUGAGAACCAUUUACUGGA